rnacentral:rRNA from 1 species
ACGGGUGCGUAACGCGUGGGAAUCUGCCCUUUGGUUCGGAAUAACAGCUGGAAACGGCUGCUAAUACCGGAUGAUGACGACAGUCCAAAGAUUUAUCGCCAGAGGAUGAGCCCGCGUUGGAUUAGGUAGUUGGUGGGGUAAAGGCCUACCAAGCCGACGAUCCAUAGCUGGUCUGAGAGGAUGAUCAGCCACACUGGGACUGAGACACGGCCCAGACUCCUACGGGAGGCAGCAGUGGGGAAUAUUGGACAAUGGGCGCAAGCCUGAUCCAGCAAUGCCGCGUGAGUGAUGAAGGCCCUAGGGUUGUAAAGCUCUUUUACCCGGGAAGAUAAUGACUGUACCGGGAGAAUAAGCCCCGGCUAACUCCGUGCCAGCAGCCGCGGUAAUACGGAGGGGGCUAGCGUUGUUCGGAAUUACUGGGCGUAAAGCGCACGUAGGCGGCUUUGUAAGUCAGAGGUGAAAGCCUGGAGCUCAACUCCAGAACUGCCUUUGAGACUGCAUCGCUUGAAUCCAGGAGAGGUCAGUGGAAUUCCGAGUGUAGAGGUGAAAUUCGUAGA